AGGUUAAAAAGAGCAAAAAAUGGAGCUGCAAAGUAUGUGGUGAGAAGCAGAUGCUGCUAAAGGCCUAUGGCCAAGGCUCUGGGUCUGACUGUAGACGCCAUGUCCAAAAAUUAAACUUGCUGCGGGCUGGGACGGAGGUGGCAGCUGAGGGAACAUCUUGGUGUAUAGAGGAACCAGUGAAUAAUGACAAAGAGAACACAGGAGUUCCACAGGAAGAAAACGUGGGCUGGCAGG